rnacentral:lncRNA from 1 species
CAUGCAAAAACUAAACAACAUAAUAAAAGUAGUCUAAAGACUACUUUUACCUUGGACAUAAUGUAGUGUUAAUGUAAUAAUAAUCCAUUAAGAUGUGACUAUCAUAUUUAAAAUUUAUUAAUUCAUACUUUUUCUUUUUAUCAAGCAUGUUCAUAAAAAUCUCUCUUUUACCUUGGAGACUUGAAUUUGUUAACACGUUCAAAUAUUUGUCAUUUGCAAGCCAUCUAAUUGUGUCUGAAGAUAUCAUGCUAAAUUCAUAAAUGUUAAUUUAGAG